CACUGGCCCAGAAUCCCAGAGUAGCCCAGCCAGGAUUCAAACCCAGAACUCCAUAUGCCACGUGCGGCUCUCCCACAAAUCCACAGCUACAUCCCAGGCAUUCCUGGCUGACAAAUGUAGUUUGGGUGUUUUACCGUGGUCUUUAACCCACAAGACCCUAAGCUACAAUGUUCCCAGUUCCUUUCCUUCCCAGACUCUCAAGAAACCACUUGCCAAACUCCUACUUGCUAUAGAAUUGCUUGAGGAGAGAAUUUAAAACGCAGAUUCACAGAGUUCAUCCCCCAGGGAUUCGGACUUUGGAGGUCUGGGGACUGUGAUCCCUGGGGAGGGAGGGAGCUGGAAUUCCUGCUGAUGGAGAAGUGGCUGAGAUCUUAAGAAGCUAAGAGGAAGAAAAGAUUACAUCCUAGCCGCCUCUGAGACGCUGAGCUCCUGGGAGUGGGGUCUAAGUCAGGGUCAAUGCUUUUAGGUGACCAGAAGGCAAGGAUUUCCUAGUCCCUGGAAACCAGACACCCAUCCUCCAUUCAAACGAGUGAGGUGGAGCGUCCAUGUCAGAGGCUACACCUGCCGGGAGGCAGCUGCUCAGGUCUCCUCCACUCCUAGAACGCCAAACAAACCCAGUUUCAAACUCUGGUGCUACCACUAGCUGUGGAACAGCAAUGAAGUUAUAAAACCCCUCUCACCCUUGGCUCUAGUCAUUCCUUCAUUCAUUCAACAAUGACCGCACACCUGCUGCAUGCCAGGCACAGUUGCAGACCCUGAGAAUCCACAGGUGAAUGAAACAGACAUGAAUUCCUGCCCUAAUACAUUCUAACAGGGGUGGGGGUGCAGAUAAUAAACAGAAU